GGAAUGGGGGGAAUGGGAGGAGGAGGAAUGAGGGGCAUGGGAGGGGGGAUGGGAGGAGGAGGCAUGGGGGGAAUGGGAGGAGGGGAUGGGAGGAAUGGGAGGAGGACUGGGUGGAGGAGGAAUAGGAGCAGGGAUGGGUGCUGGUGGAGGAAUAGGGUCCAGAGCAGGCGAGCCCUAUCGCCUGGCAACGCAUGAGAGUCCGACUUCCCCCCGACAUAUGCAGUCCAGCCAGGGGCCUGGCAUGGGGCAGGGCCCAGGGUCCGGUCAUGGUCACGGGAUGGGUCAUGGUCCCGCCGGGUCUGGCAUGGGAGUCCACGGCGGUCAGAGUCCCGGUCAGCACGCCUCCCGUCGAAACCUCCAAGUUGACUUCAGUGGAUCAGGCGGCUCCAGGACAGGCCGGUCUCCAUCUGUGUCUCCUGACCGCGGAGUGACACCCACAUCACCUUACUCGGUGCCUCAGAUCGCACCCAUGCCAAGCAGCAAACUGUGCCCAGUGUGCACCACCACAGAGCUGUCCAACCCACCGGCUGUACCUAACUACAAUACCUGCACCCAGUGUAAGGCCACCGUCUGUAACCAGUGUGGAUUCAACCCCAACCCACACCUCACUGAGGUCCAGGAGUGGUUGUGUCUGAAUUGUCAGAUGCAGAGAGCUCUUGGCAUUGAUAUGACCACGCCUCGCUCUAAGAGCCAACAGCAGAUUCACUCUCCAUCCCACCAAGCCAAACCCAUCGUCCAGCCUCAGCAGCCUGCACCUCAGCCAACACAGCCGGCAGCAGCACAGCCCAAACCUUUGGCACAGAGUCAGCCCACCCAGCGACAGCAGCAGCAGCAGCAGCAGCAGCCGCCUCAGUCUCAGCCCUAUGGGCAGACACAGCCCUAUUCCCAGUCCCAGCCAUACUCCCAGUCCCAACAGUAUCCCCCGUCUCAGUCCCAGACUUACCUUCCAUCCCAGCCAGGACCACAGACUCAGCCUCACGCCUCACCGGGUUUACAGAGACACCCAGGCCCUGGUGGCCCCCAUACUCAGACAGGGCCCUCUCAGCAGGGCAUGAGGUCCGACCCAUACUCCCAGAGAGGUCCUGGUGCUCCAGGAGCUGUCAGUGGUCCUGCAGGAGGCCCCAGCCAGCCUGGGGGUCCACGCAUUCCCCACCCUGGCGCUGUGCCCCUCCCUGGCUUGACCAAGGCGCCCUCCCAGCCCGAUUUGGGUCGUGGUUCUCCAAUGCACCAGCCGAUGGCACGCCACCACGACCAGACCAGAAGCGCCGGCUCCUCACCGGCCCACAGACCUCAGAGUCAGGCUCCUCCUCCUGCCCAGGAUGGCCUGACCAAACUCUUUGGCUUUGGAGCAUCGCUGCUCAAUCAGGCUAGUACCUUGAUUAGUGUUGACCCUCUACCCACUGCCUCCACUCAGCCAAGCCCUGCACGAGGAAAGGUGGUGUUCAGCAAUGCAACUCCUGACAGGCAGCAACAACAAGGUGCCACUAGCACCAAACCAUUCGGGAUGGGGGGCCCUCAUGCUCCAACUCAAAUGAGUGGCCCUCAUGCACCGAGCCAAAUGGGAGGCCCUUAUCCACCAAGCCAAAUGGGGGGUCCUCAUGCGCAGAGCCAAAUUGGAGGUCCCCAAAUGGGUGGACCACAUGCGCCAACCCAGAAGCAACAGCAGCAGACUAUGCCCCAUCAACAAGGAAUGCCACAACAGCAGUCACCUGCCCAUCAUCAAAAGGGGCAGCAAGGACAACCACAAGGACAACAACAUCAGCAAACACCUGCUCACCUGCAGAAAGCACCACAGAAGCAGGAGCCUGUGGUGGCGCCUGUGCCUGCACCAGAGCCUGUAAAGCCUAAAGUGAACUGUCCUCUUUGUAAAACAGAACUGAACAUCGGCAGCUCUGACCCACCCAACUACAACACCUGUACACAGUGUCAAAGCCAAGUGUGUAACCUAUGUGGCUUCAACCCCACUCCUCAUCUGGUGGAGAAAAAAGAGUGGCUAUGUCUCAACUGCCAGACCCAACGGCUGAUGUCCGGAGGCGGCCUCGAUGACCCUCCGCUUCCCGUUCCCCAUCCGUCUCCCAAGCACCAGCCAAUGGGCUCGCCUUGUCACCAGGCACCAACCAGCCAGCAAAGCCCUCUCCACAAACCCACCAGUCAGCAGGGGCCCAGACCAGCCCAGCCCCAGAAAACACAGACAGGAACUGGCGGAAGUGGGCCAUUUGCACCCACUGCUGGCAAGCAUUUGACAGACACUAAGACCACGACACCAGCUACGGCACCAGUACCAACCACUGACACCCAGAAACAGCCAAAACCCACAGAGGAGAAGCCUAAGACUGAGUCUGAGAACCAAACUGCCAAAGAGACCAAACCCUCCCAGAAGAAAGGAGAGCAGAUUACACCAAUCAAAGAAAUUAAGAAGUCCAGGCACUAUGAUGAUACAAAAAACAACAGCACCCAUGACUUGUCACGCAGUCCUCAAAGUCUCAGUGACACCGGUUACUCCUCUGAUGGCAUCUCCAGCUCCCACAGUGAAAUUACAGGUCUAAUCCAAGAAGAGGAGAUGAAGUUGAGCGAGAGGGGUAUCACUGGGAGGGGCUCCCCACCUAGCCCUUCUGAAAUCACCAAGCUAGAAAGCUCCAUGAGGCCUUUAUUAGAGAAGAGCCUCUCUGAAGAGAAGGCUGACAGAAGGGGACGAAAGCACAGGGACAGAGAUUUGGAUGACAGAGGGAAGCAGCGCCCACGCUCCCUGUCAAUCCCACCAGAUGCAUACGACUCUGACGAGGAAUUAGAAGAUAUAAUGGAGGAAGAAGAAGAUGGAGGAGACUGGGAGAGUAAACGAAAAGAAGGAAAGGAGGAGAAGAAGGAAAAGAAAAAGAAGGAAAAAGAGGCUGAGCCCACAGAGAUGACUGAUGAGGAGUUCAUGAGGAGACAAAUAAUGGAAAUGAGUGCUGAUGAAGAAAAUGAGGAGGAGGAGGAAGAGAUGGAGGAAGAGGAGGAUGAGGAAGACGAAGGAUAUGGCUACCAGAAACCCAAGAAAAGCCACCAUAAACACAUCAUCUCUGACUCAGGGAAAGAGAAAAGACGCCUUCAGCACCACUCCAGCAGUUUUGAGGAGGAAACUAAGAGCUCAACUGAUGUUUAUAAAGGCUCAGUGGAGGAAGGUGAGGAAGACGUGAUGGCAUCACAAGGAGGCCUCAGGCGCUUCAAAACCAUUGAACUCAAUAACACCAAUAGCUACAGUCGAGACAUGGAGCUGAGCAAUGAAAAUGAUCUGAGCCUUGAUCGGGAACCAGAGUUAGAGAUGGAGAGCCUAACAGGAUCUCCUGAGGAGCGUUCUCGGGGUGAUUACUCCUCCACUCUGCCACCCACCUCAUCCUCAUAUGGCUCUGGCCAGUCUCCUACUUCCAUCUCAUCAAUGGAGGAGGACAGUGACAGUAGUCCUAGCAGGAGGCAAAGACUGGAAGAGGCUAAACAGCAAAGGAAAGCACGCCACCGCUCCCAUGGCCCUCUCCUUCCCACCAUUGAAGACUCUUCAGAAGAGGAUGAGUUGAGAGAGGAAGAGGAACUUCUUAGAGAACAGGAGAAAAUGAGAGAAGUAGAACAACAGAGAAUAAGGAGCACAGCACGAAAGACCAAGAGGGAUAAGGAAGAGCUGAGGGCUCAGAGGCGCAGAGAGAGGUCCAAGACACCACCCAGCAAUCUCUCACCUAUCGAAGAUGCCUCUCCAACAGAAGAGCUAAGACAAGCUGCAGAAAUGGAAGAGCUCCAUCGUUCUUCUGCUUCUGAAUAUUCUCCUCAGAGUCUAGACUCUGAGGCUGAGGGAUACGAGUCCAAACUUUACAAGUCAGGCAGUGAGUACAACCUGCCUACCUUUAUGUCUCUGUACUCACCAAUGGAGAAAUCAUCACCCGCAACAACCACAACAGCACCAUCUUCAACUUCCAAACCACUGAAGAGUGCUGAGGAAGUUUAUGAGGAGAUGAUGAGGAAGGCAGAAAUGCUUCAAAAACAACAGAAACAACAGCAGCAACAGCAGCAACAACAUGGAAGACCUGGGCAGUACUACGAGGAAGACAUUAAUGGACAAGGUUAUGAUGAUGAGUAUGAAUAUGAACAAGAUCAGACUGGAUAUGACAAUGAGGCAGCAGAGACAGAAACAGAUAUUUAUGAGGAGAUUCGACAAACAUCUCAGAACAUCACCAAAAUGCAGCAGGCCACUGAUGAGCAAGUAGAGAUUGAGAUUGAGAGCUCUUACCCAGACAAACAGCUCCUGGACACAGGCUCAGCAUUUGCUAAACUACUGGAACAAAGCAAUGCUCUCUUGACUCCAGGGACCAGCCCCACCCAGAUCUCAGCUCCUGUCUCCUUUGCUGAGACUGGAGGACGGAUCCCUGAUGUCCGAGUAACACAGCACUUCUCUGCAAAGGAUGGACACAAAGACAGGAUCAAAAGCCAAGCUGGAAAGAAUGGAAUAACCCCAACAGUGGCAGCCACCACUAUUGCAGCUUAUGGAGUUUAUGCCAGAGAUGCAGUAACCAUUUCUCAGACUAGUUCAAGCCACACCAUGACGUCUACUCAGUCUGGAAUAUAUGGCAGACACACAGGAAGUACUGCAACAUCCUCUGCUACAGUGUCAAGUGUAUGCAGCAAGAUUGCAGAGAUUACCCAAGCCUACAGUCAGAGAGAAGUGAUCACCAGAAGGGUAGGAGAGACCAGAGGUGUCCAAGUGCGAGACAGUUCAACAUCUUCUACUGAGAGGAUAAUUGAGCCACGCUCUCCCAAGUAUACUACUUAUUAUAGGAGCACCAGUCCUCCUCUUUCUCCAUCACCACCACCACAGAGUCCCACCAGAUCACCUUCCAGAAGGGCUACAGCUGAGUUCUCCACACAGACUUUCAGUUCAGCAUUGCGAAUGGAGUCAGCUAGCUCUGGGCCCUCAUCUCCAGUGAUGGCUCAGGGAACCCAGACAUCACAUCGAUCAGUUUCUCCACGGUUGUAUCGACAACAGUCCUCCCAGGAUGCCCCAUACUCCCCACCUCCAAGCCCAGCUAGGCCAAUGACAGUCAACACUGCUACUUCUCCUCUGUCUUCACCUACCCGAUUUAGCCGCCAAUCAACAUUUGAUACUUACUCCCCAUCUGGCAGCCCUCCAGACACACCACCUUACCAACAGUCUCCCACACGCAGCUUCUACCGAACACAAAGAGUGGAGAAGGUGAAUGUGGGAACAAGUAUGGUCACCACAGCCAGCACUUACACGAGAGGGUCCAUAUCAAUGGAUAACAUCUCCCUCUGUCGAAUAUCUACUGUCCCAGGCACUUCUAGGGUAGAGCAGGGCCAUAUGAUCCAAGGUGGAAGUGUUGUGGACCUCAGGACAGCCACCAAACCUGCUCCUAUUAUUAUAACUGAUCAAGGAAUGGAUCUCACCUCGUUGGCCACUGAAAGCAGGAAAUACCAUGGUGGAUCAGAGGGUAGCAGACAUUCAACGAUUGUACAGCCACUAAUUAUGAACCUGAACACCCAGGAGACCACCACACCAACCACUGUGAGUGUCACUGUGGCUGCUUCAAUGUUCAUGACCCAGCCCAAACAGCCAACAGUCUAUGGUGACCCACAUCAAAGCAGAGUGGAUCUGGGCCAGGGGAUGGGUUCGGCUGUGUGUCUUUCACAGAACAAACCACAAAUUUCACCACCAACUGACCCAUCAAUACCAAAAAUUGAUGCCAAACUGGAAGACCUCAGUAUUCAACAGAGAGAGCUACAAAAACAACAAGAGAAGCUCCAGAAGCAACAAGAGCUCCUUGAACAGCAGUUGCAGCAGCACCAUCAGAUGCAACAGCACCAGCAACAAGCAUCUGCUUUGGCAAGGUACAAUCUUACUGGCCAGAUCUCACCUUUACUUAAAAAAGACUUGCUAGUCAGCCAGACUAGCACUGCCUCAGCUGUGGUCAGUGCUGUAUCACCAGUCAUUAAUCCUGAGCUGUACGGCACUGGUCCCAUUGAGCUAAAAGGGAAGGCCAGUCCUCCGGGUUUGAUGUCAGGAGGUAAAUCACCACAUAGCGUGGUAGUACAGAUGGAUGGAGGACCAGAGCAGGCCAGGGCAGUGACUCAGCUUGUAAAGGUAGAAGAGGGACAGGAUGCUUUGGAUCAGACAGAUGGCCAAAUUAAACCUGACAACCAACCAGCUUGCUGUGAUGUUGUUUACCGGCUUCCAUUUGGUGGAAGCUGUGUUGGUGUUUCUGAGAAAGAGGGCAUAAGGCCUCCAUCUGCCCCACCUCUCAGCUAUGAGUCUGACCACGAAAGACAACCUGGAAGGUACCAUGAGUAUCCAAUGGAUGGACGUAAGGCCUACACAUUACCUUUCCCUGGUAAGCUUCAGCCCUCAAUGUCUGAUACAAAUCUAGCUGAAGUUGGGCUACAGUCCUACCAUUCAAAACUUGAACCACACCUCCAAGUCUCAGGAGAACUUGCCAUGGAUCUGACUGCUAUGAAACAGGGUUAUGGAGGGUAUAUGGGGAUGCAGUAUGGCUCCUAUACAGAUUUACGCCAUGGAGGAGACAUCACAGCCCAAACACUGCCUAUAAGGAGAUAUAAUUCCUUGUCUAAUAUCAGUUCAGACUAUGGCUACUCUGCUCGUGACAUUGCUAGCUUCCAAGAAGCUAACUUGGCUCAGUACAGUGCUACAACUGCCAGGGAGAUCAGUCGGAUGUGUGCAGCACUCAAUUCCAUGGAUCGGUAUGCAAGCAACCCAGACUUGAUGCAGUUUGGCACUUUAGGGAGAGGAACUGGGCCUGGGACCUCCAGACUUGCUGCAGGUCUUGGCAUGAGGCAAAACCUCCUCUUUGGACUAGAUGGGAAGCCAAUCUCCCACAGUCAAGCACUAACCAACCUUAUCAAUGCCAGACAGGCCAGUCUCAGGGCCAUGUACCCUGCUGCUAUUAGGUCCUCUGAUGGGAUGAUCUACUCCACCAUCCAGACCCCUAUUGCUUCUACACUUCCCAUCACAACCCAGCCUGCCUCUGUUCUUCGCCCACUACUGAGGGGGGUCUACAGGCCCUACCCCUCGGCCAACAUGACACCUGUGCCCCUAUCUAGUCUGAGUAGACUACCAAUGAGCCCCAGAAUGCCCUUAUCUGGACAAACUCCAGUUCGUUACCCAGCACCAGGUCUUCUUCAAACAACAUCAACCACUGCCACUACUGCUGCCGCUGUAACAACUUCAGCACCAGUAGGUGCCCCAGGUUCCAUGCCAGCUACUAGCUCUACAGUCCAAGAUGAACCGGUUUACCUUGGUAAAGGUGCCACAAUGACACCCUCAUCAGCAGAAGUAACCUCAGUUGGAGGAACACUUGUCAUACCAACAGAGCAGCAGCAGCCAAUAAACCUGUCCCAGGCACACCUGAACAGUCAGCAACAACAACAACAACAGCAACAACAACAAGUGACAACUGCUCAGCAGCCACAGCAACCUCCUCCAGCAGCUCAUGCCUACCCACCUUCAGGUCCUUCACACACCCAUGGCUAUUCCCAACCUCCAGUAGGGCCUUCUGCCCCUUCCAGUGGCUUACCAAUUGCAGGGGGUCUUCCUCCGUUUCCGCCACCAGGAGCUAUACACAAGGAGGGUGAAACCGAGGCAGAGAGGCUGCAUCGGCAGCAAGAGCAGCUUCUUCAGAUGGAGAGGGAACGUGUGGAGCUGGAGAAACUCCGGCAACUGCGUCUGCAGGAGGAGCUUGAACGGGAAAGGAUAGAGCUGAAGCUGCACAGAGAGAAGGAGCAGAUGCUCGUGCAGAGGGAGUUACAGGAGCUGCAGAACAUCAAGGAACAGGUCCUACAGCAGCAGCAACAAGAACGUGAGAAACAACUUGUUCUCCAGAGGGAGCAGCUGGCCCAGCAGAAGUCCCAGCUAGACCAGAUCCAAUCUUUACAGCAACAGCUCCAGCAGCAGCUUGAAGAGCAAAAGAGACAGAAGACAGUUGCCGCAGCUCAGGGCAUACAGCUGGAUGUGAAUGGACAGCCCCUGCACCCCUAUAUUGACUCUCAGAUGGGCUCCCGUUCCCUCCCCAACUCCUCAUCAGAGAUGUGUCUGAGGAGCCAGGAAGAGCACAUGGACAUCAGGAGUACCAUGAGGAAACACAGCUCCAUGACCAGGCUGAGCAGGGACAGCUUGGAUGGUGAUGGUGUGGUGUUCUACGGUUCCCCCCGCAGAAUUGUGGACAGCUGUGUGCAGACAGACGAUGAGGAUGGGGAAGAGAGGUACAUGAUGCGCCAUCGCACCAGGAGGCGCGGGCGCAGCGUUGACUGCUCUGUCCAGACAGACGACGAUGAGGACAAGGCAGAGGUGGAACAUCCAGUCCGCCGAAGACGUUCCCGUUUCUCCCGGCACUCUGAGUCCAGUGUCGCUGGCAGCAGCACUGCCACCACAAUGAAUGCAGCUUCUGACACAAAAACCGACACGUCCAAGAUGGUAUCCUCCAGUAUUGCUGUCCAGACCAUUAGAGAAAUGUCUUGCCAGACAGAGGUGGAGCACCUAGGACGAGUCUCCCCAGCGAUCCAUGUGACAGUACCAGACCCAAAUAAAGUGGAGAUUGUGCACUACAUCUCUGGACCUGAGCGGACCCAAAAAGGACAGUCUCUAGCAUGCCAGACUGACCCAGAAGCCCAGUCACAGGGUGUUGUGGCUCCACAGCUCAGUGUACCAACAACAAUUAGUCCAUAUUCUUCCUCUACCAGUACUGGAACACAACAAUCCAGUUCUGCUGACCUUCUUACCCAGCAACGCCAGCAGCAGCAUAUCGCAGCAAACGCAGCCAAGUUUGAGCGACGUCGACCUGACCCGCUUGACAUCAACUACCAGCCUCACAACCACCUCCACAACGAGUCUAUCUCCAGCAUCAUUCGGCAGCAGCAGACAGCUCCCAAAUCCCCACAGGUCCUCUACUCUCCUGUGUCUCCAGUGUCCCCUCACCGCCUGCUGGAGACUUCUCUGUCCAGUGAACGGCUGAACAAGGCACAUGUCACACCUCAGCAGAAGUCCUACACAGCAGAGUCUCCCCAGCGACAUCCGUCUGUGCCCCGACCCAUCAAGAGCACCCAGAGGUCCAUGUCAGACCCUAAACCCCUCAGCCCCACCACAGACGAACACACCAAGGCCAGACUGUCCCUGUAUCAACAGCAAGCACUCCAGAGCCAGCUGGCAGCCCUACAGCAGAGCUCACUACUCCGUAAGGUCAAGCGAACCCUGCCCAGCCCUCCUCCAGAGGAGACUACUACAUCAGCUCAUCUGCCCAUGAUGACGCCCACCCUUCAACAGGUCUACCUGCCCUCCGUGCCCAGCCUCAAGCCCAGCUCCAGGUCUGGUCUGGCCGCUAAAGCCAGCCUCCUCAAAGAUCUCACCCAUGAGUUGAAGGCUGUGGAGCAAGAGUCAACCAAACUGAGAAAGCAGCAAGCUGAACUGGAGGAGGAAGAGAAAGAGAUCGAUGCUAAACUGAGAUACCUAGAGCUGGGGAUCCACCAAAGAAAAGAAACACUGGUCAAGGAGAGGGAGAGGAGGGAUAUUGCCUACCUGAGGUGUAUGGGGGACACUCGGGACUAUAUGUCUGAUAGUGAGUUGAAUAACCUACGUUUAGCAGCUGCAGCUGCAUCACAUGAGACCAAUGGGCUGUUGACAACAAGGCCAAGCACUGCACCUCUCAGCCAGUUCACCAGUGAUCUCAACACAGCAGCCCAGUACCCACCCACUUCAUCCUUCCUCUCCUGUCAGUACCCCCAGAGCCAACCAGCAGCACCAACUCAACAACCAAGUGUGCUAUACCAGUCUUCAACAUUCAACCAGCCUCCCUAUCCAACAGUGUCUCAGUCCCAGGCACUGCCACAGCCUACACCCCUCCAGAGCCACAUCCCCCCUCCAGGACCUUCCUAUCAGUCUCAAACCUCCUCCUAUCCUUCCCACACCUACCCCCAAACUCAGCCCCCAUACCCCCAGACAGACAUGGGGUUACCAGCUGCACCUCAACCUCAGCCUCAGCCGGGGCAUACAGGUUUCGGGCCUGCACCACCUGGUCAGCCCCCAUACCCCACCCACAGCUCACCUUAUCCCAGCGCUGUGUCCUCCUACCCCAGCCAGACCACCCCAUACCCUGGGCAGCCCCAAGCUGAUAUCUUGACAGUCCAUCCUGGAAGACCCAGGCAGACUUCACUAGCCGAUCUGGAGCACAAGAUGCCCACCAACUACGAGACGAUCAGCAACCCCACGGUCGUGGUCACCACCACAGCCCAGGAUGCUACCUAUUCCAGUGCAGCCCCCUCUUAUGGUCAGUACACUGGAACAACAACUAUGGCCAGCUCCUAUGGACCCUAUGGCUCAGCACCAGUGUCCAGCAGCUAUGGUGGGUACUCUACCAUGCCACCCACCACUUAUGGGCAGUAUACUUCAACAUCAGCUAGUUCAUAUGGCCAGUAUACUACAACCACUGCUAAUACUUAUGGCUACACCACCACCACAGCCAGCUCUUACGGACAGUACACUUCUACAGUUUCAAAUGCUUAUGGGCACUCUGUAGACAGUCCCUCAACCUACAGCACUGCAGAUGGGAUCUAUGGGGCCCCUGGCUUAGAGCAAAACAUCCCAAGGAACUACAUGAUGAUUGAUGACGUAAGCGAGCUGACGGCAAAAGAUGGGCUGGGCACGACGACAGUGGACAUGAUGCAUCAUGGCGGCAGUGGGCGUUACCAGGGCGACAUCCAUGGCCACAGCAGCACCAUUGGCAGCACGACGCGUGGGGGAACUGGCAGCUCCUCGUACGGCAGGGCACCUGAGGAGGAAGCAGCGAUGCAGGAAGAGCUGUACGACCACCAUGGCAGGGGUAAGAGCAGCUACAGGCACGGACCUCUAGGGGGCAGCAGCAGCAGCGUGAGCGCUAGCAUGGGUGGGGGAUCCCCCUAUUACUAUGACUACGACUACAAACAUGGCAGCAUCCGCUCCGGGGUACAGAAACCUUCACCAUCCUCCAGAAGCCUUCUGGCUCCUGCAGUCAUGUCUUCCAAGCGCAGCAAGCACAGGAAACUGGGGAGUAUGGAGCAAAAAAUCUCCAAGUUUUCCCCCAUCGAGGAGGCUCGGGAUGUGGAGGCAGACCUGGCUUCCUAUUCCUCAGCAACAGGUGGAGCUUACUCCUCCUCUCACAUUCGAGGGCGCCAGCUGAUCGAGGAUUACGGCUUUAAGAGGAGUGCUUAUGAGGGCGGCAGUGGCACCACUCAUGGUAGUCGAUACUAUGGUUCGAUGGUGGAGGAGGACGAUCGAAUUUACUACACGUCCACCGGCCGCUCCCGUUCCACCGGCUAUGGCAUGGACAAGAUCUCAGCCAGGGACUACCCUGGGUAUCGCAGCCGAUCCUAUGAGAGGGACGAUCGCUCCUACCGAUCUGGUUACAGCCAGGGGCGCCACCCAACCCGGCAGUACUCUGAAGAGGAGAGUCCACUCAGUCCCCUGGGGAAGUUCAUGGGUUCUGGCCGAUCAUCAAGCUUAGGUCCCGAUCCAUACGACAGUCGCAGCAGUAGAUAUCAUUACUAUUAUGGCCAGUAUGGUUCCAGCCACUCGCUGCCAGACGUACAAGACCACAUACGGGACCUUCCCAGGACACAUGUCUACAAAUCGGAUGAUACAUACAUUAUAGACGAUUAUCAUUGCGCUGUGUCAGACAGUGAAGCCUACCAUCUGGGCCAGGAAGAAACUGACUGGUUUGAGAAGCCACGUUCCAGUUCUCGACACUACGGCAGCAGCCACUCAUCUGGGAGAAGCCGACAUGGUGUCAAACACACCUACCAUGAUUAUGAUGAGCCUCCUGAGGAGGACCUGUGGCCCCAGGAUGAGUAUGGCCAUGGAGGGCGUCACUCUUCGUCCCGUGACCACCGGCACCAUGGCAGCUCUAGUCGACACUCGUCCUCGUCACGUCAUUCAGAUGAGCCGAGGUCCUCAAGGUCAUCUAAGGGGCACCCCAAAGACCCGUCAAUGAGACAUGACCCUUCAGGACGAUCUUCGUCUUCAGGUAGGCGUGGUGAAUCAAGGUCAGGGGGAUACCACUCUUCGGACUACUCACGGGAUCCUUCUGGACACCACCAUGGCCAGCGCUCCUCCAGACAGGGAGACCCACACCGGUCUUCACGCAGCAAGUCCCAGCAACCAGUGGACAUGCAGGGCCAACCACCAGGUUCCUCCAGGUCUGGCAGCAGCUCUGCCCGGGCUCAGGGCCCCGCCAGUGGGCCAGCAGGAUCAGGGCGACAGGGUGGUCCAGGUUCUCAGACAGAUGUUGGUCCAGGACAGAGGGCCCAGCUCCAACAACAAGCCCAGACAUCAGCGGCUAGGCCAGGGCAGCCCAGUGCCACAGCUACCACUGGCCCUCAGCAGCAGACAUCAACCCAGGGUCAAGGCAUGGGCAUGGGACAGGGCCAGGCCAAGCAAGGGCAGAUGGGACCAGCAGGUGGACCCAUGGGGCAGGCCAGGCAGACAGGUCCGGCAGGAACCAUGCCAGUCACAAUGGCCAAGAUUGACACGCCUCCAGUGACAGCCAUUGGAGCGAAGGCAGCACCUGUCAUGGCCUCCAAAGUUGCCCAGCCCCCACUCACAGGCAUAGGCUCCAAGGCGGCUCCUAGGCCAGGAGGUAUUGGCAGUGCAGCAGCAGGGCAACCUGGCAUGGAGGGAGACAGCAUGUUGUCCAAGAUCCUGCCUGGAGGAGCUGCUGAGCAGGCCGGCAAACUGGGAGAAGCUAUCUCUGGUUUUGGCAAGAAAUUCACCUCAUUCUUCUGAGGUUCCAAAUUUUAAGGACUAUGUACUGUAAAUGUCAACUGAUGAAGUCAUGAGGCCUCGUACCAGAAAAACCUGUGAAGUUCCCCUGCUUUUGUUUUACUAAAAGAGAGAGAGGAAGGAGAGAGAGAGAGGGAGGGACUGAGAGGAGAGCUGAGCAUACUGCCAAUAAGGACUGGGAUCCUCCAGAUAUUUCAUGUCUCAGGCCUGAACACACUGACAAGAGAGAACAUGCUGCUCUCUCUGACAGGCCAGACAAUCAUUCCAAACCAACAUCCAUCUUCAGGACUAUCCUUGUUCAUCCAGCAUCCCCAGCCAAAGACUCGAAACCAGACUACUGCAGAGCCCCUACGAGGAGCCUGUAGCAGUUCAACACAUCUUUGUUGCUUCAUCAUAGAAGAGCAAGUGCAAAAUUGAAAGAGGCAGGCUUUUAUUUUUGCAGCUCUUUCUCCAUGCAAGUAGUGGGAUCUGUAUGUACAUCAUGGGAGACCUUCAUAGAACCAGUGUAGUCCAACUUCCAUGUGGAUUUAACUCUGCAGCUCCAAUGAAAGGAAAUAGAGGGGUAAUGCUACUCUUGUCCCAUAUGCUGACAACUCCACCAUUUAUUUGAGAGCUGCUUUUUCCCGUGGACAGGAAGUGGUAGCUUUACUACAGGCAUGGUGGCAUGACAGGAUCCUUGGUUUCACAGUCCUGGGCUCAAAUUAUGAAUAACGGCAACAAAUCAGCCUCCUCCUCUUUUCUAUCUCUUCUCAAAGUAAAACAAACAAACAAAAGAAAAAAAGUCCUGCAGGUUUUUCUGGUACUAAAGACCUCUUAUUACAUCACCUGUCAAGAAACUGAGUGAUGGAAAUGUCACAUCGAAUGAAUAUGACAAUGAUAAUGAUGUAGCUGACACAGUGAAUAAGUGUGUCAGCGUGCAUUUCUUUCCACGGUUUGCUCUGUUUCUAUCUACAUUCCAGAUUGGAACUGUUAAAACCUUUUUUUCCCCUCUUCUUCCUCACCUCUCUGCGUUUCUUGAAUGCUGAUUCUUCUUUCUUUCUAAUCCCCAUCCAACAAUCCUCAACUUGCCAUGUCUUUAAAGAAGUGUAUUGUGGACUUUAAAAAAAUAUAUAGGAAUUUGGAAUGCAUGGAACUUUUUAUCCAAGACCUUACACUGUUCAUCAUUACUUAACAGAGGCCAUAAAGACACUGGGAAACCAAUCUAAGCAAGUAAUAGUAAAUAAGUAAGUAAAUAAUAACAAGAAGAGAGAUUAGCAACACACAGGAAUAUGGCCACAGGAAUAAGAGGAGCCUUUUUUUUCUUUUUUCCUUUUCUUUUUUUUUUUUUUUUUUUUUUUUUUUUUGAUUCUUCAUUUUAUUUAGGGAAAACAUUCCAUUUGGUAUUUGCAGUAAUGCUGUAUGUGGUCGGGUUGUUCUUCAGCCAUUACAAAGCCAUUAAAACAACACUUACCUGCACUGCUUGUGGCAAUGAGGUUCCUCCAACUGCUCCACAACAUUUGGCUCUCAGAUAUUUCUCAUGUUGUUAUAGAUGGUCAUCAUUUGUCAUAGUUUCUUCAUUCUUUCGAAUUUAGUUUCCUUAUUUCCCUGUUGUUUAUGUUGCAGGUUACCAAUAUCGCCUUAAUCAUUUUUGAAAUGUUUUAUUUUGAAGUAAAAGUGGCAUAUUUUUUAUCACAUACUGUACACAUGUAUUUUCAUCACACCCUUUUUUUAUGUAGUAAUAUGAGCUGGAACACUGGCCACAGUGAGAUUAAUUUAUAUUUUUAAGAUUAACUUUGUUUUUGAUAAUUGUUUGUGAUAUUAUUUUUCUUUUACUUAUGUUUUGUAAUGUUUUGUUACCUUCAUCAAGCCCCCCUGUCAAUUUUUGACUCUUGUUUAUUAUCAAUAAUUAUAAAAGCAAUAGAGUAAGAGGUAAGAGAGUAAAGAGCACAAUCUUGUGUCAUUUUAAAAGUUGGUGGAAUGGAAAUGUGUUGCCUCUGUCUGUCUAACUUACCACUGAUAUACCGCUCAAGUCUGACUUAAACGCACCACAAAAUGUACUCCUAUACUGUACUACUGCUGUACUAAUACAUCAGAGAGCAGGAGCUCACCUAUAGACCAUGACUUUGGUACCACCCAGAUCUUCUUCUCCUACCAACAGUGAGACAUUGGUGUCGUCAAUCAGCCAGUCAGUGGAUCAGAGUGAUAAGCUGUUUGUAUUAGCCAGCUGGAGUCUAAUCUGACAGCACUGCAGGGCAGCAGAGAGGCACUGAAAAGCAGACCAGUCGCACAUCUCGACAGAACUGGACUUUGCAUCGUCACCUGAUGGGGGUUUGGGUUUCAAUGUGAUUCUUCUGACCCUCCAAGAUGGACAUUUAUUUGGAGUCUGCAAAAAGGCCUGCUGGGCUCCUCACACAUCAGUGUAUAUCAGCAUGUGUGUUCACUCUGUCUAAUGUGCACAGUGCACGUGAAAGCACACUCGAUAAUGGUGUCAAAAAAAGCAAGGAAAAAAAAUCAGUAUUUAUGUGACUGAGGAACCAAAAAUAACACACUUGGUUGUGUCACAAAGUCACUCGCCUUUUUUUAACUUUUCAUUUUCUAUCGUGGUGGCGUCCAGACCUGUAAUCCAACCCCUGAAAACCUCUCUCUCUGACUGUCAGUUGUCAUGGAAACUUCUCAGGUCAGUGUUCUCCCUGCUGUUGCUCCUGCAGUGCAUUGUGGGAUCUGCGGUUCGGUACUCAAAAACAUACUCUGUCGGGCCAAACAUUGCGAGGCCUUCAGCAAAACCAACGAACCAACCAACUUCUGCUGUAUAUUGUCUGUGUGAACGCUCGCUGGGAACCUUCGCAUGCUGCCCGGCGCAGAAAAACCUCAAAGUCACCUCUAUAUUGUUCUGUUCCUAAUGUUUGUAUGUAUGUGUGUGGGGGUUCUGUAUGCGUGUAUUUAACGACCAUCAUCCAAUGUGGAAAAGAAAAGAAAACAAGACAAAACACAAGUUCAAACACAACAAGUACGGUGGGCAGAAGAGGCGACCUCUCAUCUCCAGUCGUUCUAUGCAAUGAAAACAGAAGCGUGAGGAGGAAAAAGGAAGUGAAACACACAAUGGGAAAAAGGUCACGCAAAUCAUUGUUUAUCACACCUGAGUUAAAUGUCAAGAGUUCUUUGUUUUGGCAUUCCUCAUAGAUCAAAGCAAGGAGAGUCUGUGAAUUUGUUUGUGUAUAAUAUAGAAUCACCUGUGAGUUAAGAAAUAAUAAGAGGUUUUUGUAUUGCGUUAAUCUGGUAUGUGCAGGGUCCCCUCCUCUUUUAAAGUUGGUGUCUGCUAGCAAAUGGUCACUUGCUCGAGGUGUGUUCAAGACAGCUGGGAAAUCAGAGCGUUUUCACUUUUACUUUUUCACUUUUCACAUUCCUUAUGAAACAAAUACUAGAAAUCUGUAACAAAAGGAAAGAAAUCUAUAAUCUUACACAGUUAUUGUAAAACUGAUUUAAUCCCUUGCCAGUUUCAAUAGAAACCUACAUAAAUAUAAAAAUAAAAUCCAACAAAAGAUGCAACACAAUAUGCAAGAGCCCCAUUACGAGACUCUCAGUAAAGUCGCAGCAAAGAUCCCAGUUGUAAUGAACACAACCAAAUGAGUGAGGCAUCUUGUUUUGCUUUAUUUGCAGGGGAGAACGGCAUAUACAAGAAAAUUGUUCAGAGAAUAAUAGAAAGAAAAAUUAAUAUGGUUGUUGUCUGCUCAGGGGUGAAGAAGAAAAGCUCCCCAUUUACUUAGUUAAUAUAUAUUUGUCUGUUUGUUUUCAAAGACAAAGGCCCAAAGUUGAUGGUAAUUAAGUAGUUAUUAACUAACUUUAACUAGUCGGGCCUUUGUCAUACACAGUAUAUAUAUAUAUAUAUAUAUAUAUAUAUAUAUAUACACAUUUGACUAAAAACAUACUGCUGUGUGCUGCUAGUGAGCACUAUUCACUUAAUUCCUAAAAAUGAAGUAAUUGGUGAGAAGUCAGUUUGUGUUUGACUGUUUAAAGGUGCACUGCCACAACAUGCUAAGAGAUAAGAUUUAUAAGGUAAAUACACUGUGGAAAGAAAAUUUCUUUACCUCAUAAAACAAAAAUCUACCAUCUGAGUUAUCAGUUUGGUAACAGCACACCAAGACAAGAAAAUUAUGAAGAAGCUAUUUAUGAAAAUUCAGAUUUAAAAAGAGUUUUAUGCAGUACGAAAAAAUUUGAGCAUGGAUUAACAAGUCACUGGAACUGUGUAAAAGAGGUUAAUAUAUAUUUUUUGUGAAACAUUUAUCAGAUGAUUUAUCAAUGUAAGAAUUUAUUUUAUCAUAUUCAGAGGGGAUAGAAAGCUGGCUGGGAUUUCAGAAAGAAGAGACAUUUAGACAUGUACAGUGAUAAAUUAUGUUUAUACAGAUGUCAUCUAUUGCUGGAUUUAUGCACAGCCAAAAUAAUUAGAUUAUUAAAAAUCAGAAUCUGAAAAUAUCUUCCAUUGAAAUUAUGCUUUUAAAUUAAAAUUCUCAGUUUGAUUGGUAGAAAAGUAAAAAGUCAUUUACUGGUUCUUGUUUAACAGAAGAAAUGCCAGUGUGUUGUCAUGUGAUUGAUUGUUUUUUGUUUGUUUUGUUUUUGUUUUUUUUUAAAUCAAAAGCCUUUCAUAAUCUACGUCCAUAAUUUUCUCUUGACCUACUUUAUGUGCAAGUCUACUGGUCAUAAUGCCUUUUGGCCUUUUCAGUCUGAUUAUUCUGGUUAUGUUUGAAUCUGGUUGUUCCUCUUCAGUCUGUUUAAUUGCACAUCAGGUGCACAUGGCCCAAACAAACUUCACAGGUACACUGCCACCAGAUCACUAACUUCAACACAGAAGCUUAACAUUAGCCAGAUGUCAAAGUAGAACAAAUAAUAUGAGAGAGUUUAAAGUUACCCAAAUUAAUACCAACUUCCUAUAUUGUAUGUCGUAUGUUUUGGGAAGUUUAUAAAAAAUAAAAUGUUCCUCAAUCACUUUUGCCUCAGGAAAGCGCACACUAAAUGCAGCACUGCAAUGGAGGUGUUCAAAAGACAAUAGAAAAUAAUGGUUGGAUUUAUGCAGGUGCAAUAAAUCAGAUUUGCAACACUUUAUGACACAGACGUGACCUUCCCAUGGCUGUUUUUGAAUGACACAGCCAAGAGCAUGAUAAAUAACAUAAUGCGUUGUGUGUUUGUGUGUGUGUGUGUGUGUGUCUAUACACACACACACACACACACACACAUUUCUAUGUGUCAAAAAGUGUUAAACAACAUUUUUUUUGCUCCAGUGUGAAUACAGCCACAGAAGGUCACUUAAAUAUGCAUAGAAGCAAGGGCUUUUAUACUACAAUACUGGUCACUGAAGAAAGCCAUCCUGUUACUGCCCUCUAGCCAGUCAUGGUCUCUGUCUAUACUCUGCAUGGUGUCAGUCCAGGAAUGCAAUGGACUUCAGGUCUGACUGCAGCAAUCACCAGUGGGCAAAAUCACUGAGCCACAGUCUGGUUUUUCAGAGGUGUUUGAAGCACAAAAUGUAGACAAUAAUAAAAGGUAAAGCUUUAAAAGUUGUGUUCCAAAUUUAAAGUAUUGUUUCUUUAAGCCCCUCAAAACAGACACUAGUUUUCAUGAGAGAAAUAUCAACAUUUUUCUAAAUAUUAGGAGAUGAAAUUCACACAUAUGUACUUAGAAUUCACACAUUUGCAAUAGAUCACAAAGGGCCUGAUCUACAGACAUGAAGCCAAGAGAGGUUGCUUACACCAGUUCUCUGUUUAAAAGAGGUAAACUCUCAAAGGGCUUGACUUGUCUUUGAAUCCAACAAUUCGGCAUUUUCCGGCACUGAUCUAGUACUUGUGAGGACUAUUGUCUGACUAUACAGACCUUAAAAGGACAAACUUUAAGUUCCACAAGAGUUAAAAACAAUUUCUUUGUCAACUUUAUUUAAAUGAAGCUUAGAAUGCUUUUGGAAAAACCUGGACUGUGUGUGUGUGUGUGUGUGUGUGUGUGUGUUCUUAACUAAAAAGGUAGCAUAACUGUCACCACUGCUCUGCUGUUGAUCGUGCAGUCAACGUAUAGCAGGGCCAUAGAAAGAUAUAUAUAUAUAAUAAAGUAAAUGUUUCAUAGGUGAGAGGUUGUGAACAGAGAGCAAGAAUGAGACAAACCAAACCAUGAGAGAAAAGCUACCACAUCAAUCUUUCACAUCAGGGAGUGUUUAUUCAUCUUUCACUUGUAAUGAAUCAUCAAAGUGCAUGACCUGAAACACCUCCCCCACCCAUCCCUUGACCAUCUGAACCUCUUUGACCUCCCACCUCACGGGCUGCCAUCUUUUUUUUCCAAUGUAAAUACAAGAUGGAAAGCGGCCAGAAUCUGCUUUGAACAAACAACAAUAACAUGUAAAUGCCAUGAAGGACAUGUUCUGUACAACAUGUAAAUCUCAAACAUGCCAACAUAACCACAACACUCACAGACAAAACACACACACAUGCACACGGGCAUGAGAGUGGCUUUUGCACACUACACGGCAACACAAGCUGGAGCGUAUGCAAGCCUGACCCUCCCUGCCCAAAUUUGUGCUUUUUGUGUAUAAAAAUAAUAAAACCUACAUAACAAACAAGAGCAGUUGUUGAUUUGAAUAAUAAAUUACAAAAAAUGCAUUGUGUAUGUAUGUGGCUGGCUCGUGCGGACUGUUUAAAACUCAUUUAAAAAGUUGUAUUCGGAUAAAAAAAAAAAAUAACAAAAACAUAUUGGUCUGUGUAGAGUUUCUAUACAUGUUGUGUUUGUAAAAUGAGAUGACAUCAAAAACAAAAAAAGGAAAAAUAUUCUGGCCUCCAUGUAAUUUUUGGGUUGGACAGAUGAUGUUAUGGGGAGAUGGAGAGAGUGAUUAGGCAAUGAAGAUGUGUAAAAAAAAAAAAAAAAAAAAAAAAACAUAAAAUAACACAAUUGAAUGAUGAAAAGAGUGUGAAAAUAUAAUACAGAAAAAGGUCAAGAGCCUAAAAAUGACUACAAAGUGUUCCAUUCACUGUUGUAAGUGCAAUGAGCUAAAUUUCCUGUUCCCCAUUGUAAAACCUUGUGUAUGUUUCCGUGUAUUCCUCCUGUAAAUGGGUGUAGUAGACCUGGUGCAUCAUGCCAUGUAAUGUGAUGAAUGACAAAUUAUGACCUUACAAUACAUUUCAAUCAGGAAAAAUAAAUAAAAGACAAGUGCAUAAAAACAAAA